CUCCUCCUCAGCAUCAGACCUAAAGGGAGUGUCCUGCCUGAAGGACCGGCUCAAGGUCGCACUAACAGCUCUUGCUAACUCCUGUUCCAGGCUGUUUAUCUGGGCCUCCAAGUACCCUGCUUGCGCCUGGAGGUCUCUCACCCCCAGGUCCUGCUCAAAGCUGUGCACUUGGGCCCCCAGGCAUGCGGCUUGCUCCGGAAGGUCCCUUACCUGUGGCACUGAGCAUGUACUUCCUGCAGUGCAGUUAGAAAUGCCCAUCCGACUCUGCUUGCAAAGACAUCUGCAAUGGCAGUUCACAUGGCUCAGAUAGCUCACUUCUGCAGAGAGCUGAAUUUAAGUGGGACAGGGUAGCAAGAAUAAUUACUUUGACAAUCAUUUUGCCACCUGAUGACUGUGCUGCCUGUCCUGAGCUGAGGCACAGCUGCUUAAAGACUGUUACCGGAAAGGAAUCCUGAUCCAGACGCCAAGAGAGGGUUCUUGGACUCAUGCAAGAAAGACUUCAGCUGGCUGCAGAUGACAGUGACACCCUGGGAGUUGAGAAAUGCUUGUAAGAUGGAAGGAGGCUGUGUCCCUGAAUGAUCACCUGGAAGAGAGCCACCUUAGCCAAUGAAACUCCUGCUAUGAAUGUUUGCUGAGCAAGAAAUAUACUUACUGCUUUAUAUGCCUUUGAAGCUAUAGGUUCAUAUUGUUACCACAAUUUAAAGUGCUAUAAUAAAAAGAGUUCAGGAAGCAGGCACAUGGAAGCAAUAAGAGCAACAAACAUUUACACAGGACAGAGAUCAUGGAAGUUGGGCCCGACUGGAUGAGAUUUGGGGGUCUUUGGAAGUGGAGAAUGUGUUUGCCCUGGGGAAGAGAGGUGAUGUCUAGGAGACCUCUUCACUCAGGGCAAGCUCUAUGACCUGCUUUGACUCCAGAAUGUGGUAGAAGUGGCAUCACAUAAAUUGCAGAGCCUAGGCUUCAAGAGACCUUGCAACUUGCCUCUCACUGACUUGAAGUGCUCCCAUCAGAGCAUCUUGUAAGGAGCAGGUGGAGCAUGUGGACAAGCCAUCCCCACCAGCCCCUGAGACAUGUGAGAGAGGCCAGAACAGGCCAUCCGGACCCCACUGUGCUGGUGGAUGAGACAGCAGAAGGAAUAUCAACCUACCAACAGAAUCCUGAGAAAUGCUCACUCUUACUUCAAGCUGCUGCAUUUUGAUGUUAUGAAACCAUAAAUAACUUAUGAAGUCAUCUUUGCUGACUUAAAGUUUUCCAUAACUUUAUUAUAACAUAUCAAAAUUAUGAAAAAUGUGAAAAGUAGAAAACUGAUGAAUUUUGCUUCUUCAUAUGGUCUUUAAGAAUCUCAAAGGCACUGAAGUUUUUUAUCUUUUCUGUCUUAGAAUAAAAAACCUUGAAUGAAAA
rnacentral:lncRNA from 1 species